GGAAUAUUGGUCAAUGGACGCGAGUCUGAACCAGCCAAGUAGCGUGAAGGAUGACUGCCCUAUGGGUUGUAAACUUCUUUUAUAUGGGAAUAAAGUUUUCCACGUGUGGAAUUUUGUAUGUACCAUAUGAAUAAGGAUCGGCUAACUCCGUGCCAGCAGCCGCGGUAAUACGGAGGAUCCGAGCGUUAUCCGGAUUUAUUGGGUUUAAAGGGUGCGUAGGCGGGCUGUUAAGUCAGCGGUCAAAUGUCGGGGCUCAACCCCGGCCUGCCGUUGAAACUGGCGGCCUCGAGUGGGCGAGAAGUAUGCGGAAUGCGUGGUGUAGCGGUGAAAUGCAUAGAUAUCACGCAGAACUCCGAUUGCGAAGGCAGCAUACCGGCGCCCUACUGACGCUGAGGCACGAAAGCGUGGGUAUCGAACAG
rnacentral:rRNA from 1 species